UACGGGGGGAGCAAGCGUUGUUCGGAUUUAUUGGGCGUAAAGAGCGUGUAGGCGGCCAGGUAGGUCUGCUGUGAAAACUCGAGGCUCAACCUCGAGACGUCGGCGGAAACCAUCUGGCUAGAGUCCGGAAGAGGAGAGUGGAAUUCCUGGUGUAGCGGUGAAAUGCGCAGAUAUCAGGAAGAACACCCGUGGCGAAGGCGGCUCACUGGCCCGAUACUGACGCUGAGGCACGAAAGCGUGGGGAGCAAACGGG
rnacentral:rRNA from 1 species